GACGAACGCUGGCGGCGUGCUUAACACAUGCAAGUCGAGCGGUAAGGCCCUUUCGGGGGUACACGAGCGGCGAACGGGUGAGUAACACGUGGGUGACCUGCCCUCAGCUCUGGGAUAAGCCUGGGAAACCGGGUCUAAUACUGGAUAUGACUCCAUGACGCAUGUUGUGGGGUGGAAAGCCUUGUGCGGCUGAGGAUGGGCCCGCGGCCUAUCAGCUUGUUGGGUGGGGUGAGGCCUACCAAGGCGACGACGGGUAGCCGGCCUGAGAGGGCGACCGGCCACACUGGGACUGAGACACGGCCCAGACUCCUACGGGAGGCAGCAGUGGGGAAUCUUGCGCAAUGGGCGAAAGCCUGACGCAGCGACGCCGCGUGAGGGAUGACGGCC
rnacentral:rRNA from 1 species